GACGAACGCUGGCGGCAUGCCUAACACAUGCAAGUCGAACGGAGUUUCUUAAAUGGAUUUCUUCGGAAUGAAGCUUUUGAAACUUAGUGGCGGACGGGUGAGUAACGCGUGGGUAACCUGCCCUUUUGCGGGGAACAACUUCGAGAAAUCGGAGCUAAUACCGCAUGAGCUUGCGGAACCGCAUGGUUCUGCAAGGAAAGAUGGCCUCUGAACAUGCUAUCGCAAAAGGNUGGACCGCGUCUGAUUAGCUAGUUGGUGAGGUAACGGCUCACCAAGGCGACGAUCAGUAGCCGGCCUGAGAGGGUGAACGGCCACAUUGGGACUGAGACACGGCCCAAACUCCUACGGGAGGCAGCAGUGGGGAAUCUUCCGCAAUGGGCGAAAGCCUGACGGAGCAAUGCCGCGUGAGUGAAGAAGGCCUUCGGUUGGUAAACUACUGUCCUUAUUGAAGAGAGGCAUUAGUGUGAAUAAUAGCUAAUGUAGGACGGUAAAUAAGG
rnacentral:rRNA from 1 species